rnacentral:rRNA from 1 species
GUAACACUUAGUCAACCUGCCCUGGAGACAAGGACAACCCCGGGAAACUGGGAUUAAUCCUUGAUAGGUCAUCUCACCUGGAAGGAGAGAUGGCUUAAAGGGGUACGCGGGCUUCUUCCGCGAAUCUGCUCCAGGAUGGGACUGCGUCCGAUCAGGCUGUUGGCGGGGUAAUGGCCCACCAAACCUGUAACCGGUACGGGCCUUGAGAGAGGUGGCCCGGAGAUGGACACUGAGAGAAGGGUCCAGGUCCUACGGGGCGCAGCAGGCGCGAAACCUUCGCAAUGCGCGAAAGCGUGACGAGGUUAAUCCGAGUGACUUCCGCUGAGGAGGUCUUUUGUCAGCUGUAAAUAGGCAGGCGAAUAAGGGGAGGGCAAGCCUGGUGUCAGCCGCCGCGGUAAUACCAGCUCCUCGAGUGGUCGGGGCGAUUAUUGGGCCUAAAGCAUCCGUAGCCGGUUCCGUAGGUCCUCUGUUAAAUCCAACCGCUUAUCGGUUGACCUGCAGAGGAUACCGCGGGACUAGGAGGCGGGAGAGGCGGACGGUACUCCGCGUGUAAGGGUAAAAUUCCUUUUGAUCCGCGGAAGA